AUGCUCACUUCGGCAGCAUGUAUACUAAAAUUGGAACAUUACAGAGAAGAUUAGCAUAGCCCCUGCACAAGCAUGAUAUGCAAAAAAAUAUUUUCUUCUUCU